rnacentral:rRNA from 1 species
AGCGAACGCUGGCGGCAGGCCUAACACAUGCAAGUCGAACGAACUCUUCGGAGUUAGUGGCGGACGGGUGAGUAACACGUGGGAACGUGCCUUUAGGUUCGGAAUAACUCAGGGAAACUUGUGCUAAUACCGAAUGUGCCCUUCGGGGGAAAGAUUUAUCGCCUUUAGAGCGGCCCGCGUCUGAUUAGCUAGUUGGUGAGGUAAAGGCUCACCAAGGCGACGAUCAGUAGCUGGUCUGAGAGGAUGACCAGCCACAUUGGGACUGAGACACGGCCCAAACUCCUACGGGAGGCAGCAGUGGGGAAUCUUGCGCAAUGGGCGAAAGCCUGACGCAGCCGUGCCGCGUGGAUGAUGAAGGUUUUAGGAUUGUAAAAUCCUUUCACCGGUGAAGAUAAUGACUGUAGCCGGAGAAGAAGCCCCGGCUAACUUCGUGCCAGCCGCCGCAGUAA